rnacentral:tRNA from 1 species
GGGGAUUUGGCUCAGUGGUAGAGCGCUUGCCUAGCAAGUGCAAGACCCUGGGUUCGAUCCCCAGCUCCG